rnacentral:rRNA from 1 species
CGUAGGCGGAAAUUUCAAAACAGGGUAAAAGACUGAGGAAGACCCUCUUUAAUCUUUGUUUACUGGAUUUCUUGAGUUCUAAUGGGAGGUUUGAAUUCCCUAAGUAAGAGUAGAAUUGUUCAUAUUGGAAGACAUUCGAAGGCGGAAGCGAUAAUCGAGUUAGAUCUGACGCUAAGGUACUAAAGUAUGGGUAUGAAAAGGAUUAGAGACCUUGUAGUCCAUACCUUAAACAAUGAGUGUUCAACGUCCUUAAAUAUUUUAAAUUAACUUUAAGUUUAUUUGACUGGAAUUUAGGGGGGUUUAAAGCUAACGCGUGAAACACCGCCUGGGGAAUGUGGCCGCAAGGUUAAACUCAAAGGAAUUGACGGAGGCUUGUACAAGG